AUUAUAAUAUUAUUUAUAAAUUAAUUAUUAAAUUAUUCAAUCAUUUCCAAUAAUAUUUUUAACCUUUAUCAGUUUAUUUUCCCAUUUAAAUAAAUUGUAUUUAUUUAAACCUUUUAAUAAUAUUAAAUCUUUUAUAAUAUUUUCAUUAAAUUUAUUACGUGCGAGGGUAAUAAUAUUGGUAGCAGUAGAAGAGAUAGCCUCCAUUAUAACUGAAAAAGCUGAAAUAUUUAAAUAUUUCCCAGCUAAUAAAUUUAAUAUAGGAAACCGAUUUGAAUUAUUUUUCCAAAAUAAUAAUAUAUCUUUUUUUUCCUUAUAUAAAACCUUGGUAAAAUAUAUAAUAUAUUCGUCGUUUUAAAUCGGCUUUUUACUUUUAAUUAAUUCGGAAUUCAAAUUACUACUAUUAUUUAUAUUAAUACUAUUAUUAUUCGUAUAAUUUCUUAUAAAUAUUAUUAUGUAAUUCGUCGAAAAAGGAAUUUUCUAUAUUAUUAUUAUUUAUAUUAUUUUUAAAUAUAAUUUAGGGUUUUAAUUUAUUCUAUUUGUUUUUUAAUAUGUUAAUUAUAUUGGUUUUAACUUGCGGGUAAAUAAUCUACGAUUUGCGAUUUUCAAAAUAAAACAAUUUAUAUCGCGGAUCCAAAAUAAUUAAUAAAAUAAAUAGUUAAUAUUUAAUAAAUAUAUUUAAAAUUAAAUAUUUAGGGCAGUGUAUAUUUGACUUUUUAAUAUUAGUUUUAAUAGCCAAAAUAAAUACAUUUUAAUCUAAUAUUAUUAUAAUUAUUAUUCCGCAAUUUCAAUUUACAUUUUUUUUAAUUUAUUUGAUUUAAAAUAAAUUUGAUUAAUAUAUUAGCAAAUGAUAUUUAAUACUAAUAAUAUAUGUGAAAUUAAUUCGAAUUUGUAUUUUCCUAAUAUAUUAAUUUUAAAUAUUUAAAUUUCCGUAUUUUUUCCUGUACGAAUCAAAGGAUAUUAUUUUAGGAUUAAAAUAAAUUUUAAUAUUAAAUACGUCGAAUUCCAGCGGGUAUUAUUAUCCAUUGGUAUUUUAUUUAAUUUGAACCUUGGCGGUAAUUUUGCUUUAUUAAAAUAUUUAUUAAUACCUUUUGCAAAAUAUUUUUAGGUUUGCUUUUAUAUUUUGAUAUUAUAAUUAUUCGACGAAUUUUGGCUAUUAAAUUAUUUUUUGUAUAAUUAUUAUUAUUAUUUACGCAAUUUUUUAAAACAUCUUUAGCAUUUUAAUUUAAUAUAUGUCCAUUGCACCGAAUAUUGUAAGACUUUCCGAAUAUAUUGUCUUUAUAAAAAUUUAUAAAAGUAUUAUUAUUUGUAUUAUUAUCGCCGGUAAUAUUGGGUAUAUUAUUUUCAAUGUAAGGAAAUCCUUUAAUAAUAUUAUCAAAUUUACUAUAUAAAUUUUCUCCCGAGUAAAUUAUAUUAUUAAUUUUUCCAAAUCCGAUUAAUAUUACGUUCGUAUAACAAAACCUUAUAAUUAGGACCGACGAGGUAUUUGCUAAGUGCAGGUAAUGCAGGAUUUUUUAAUCCCUUUAUUGUAUUUAUUGCAUCGUCGGGCAAAUACGUGACAAUUGAUUUAUAUAUUAAAUUACAAUUAUUAUUUUUCUAAUAUAUAUUUCAAAAAGCUGGUCUCCCAUCAUUUUAAAUGUUUAAAUAUUAAAUAUUGUAUUAGAUAAACUAUUAUUUUCUAUAUUAACUCGCCAAGUAUUAUUAAACUUAAUAUAAUAUCCGUUAAAUAAAUCAUUCAAAACUAGCUUUAUUUUAUCCGAAUUUAUAAUAGGUUAAUUAUUAUUAAAAUAAAAUAAUAACUUCUUAUAUAAAUCCGAAUUUAAAAGAUUAAAAGAGAAAUUAUUAUUAAUUACAAACUAUAAUAUGUUUAUAUAAAUUUCAAUUUGUUAAAUUCGUAUAUAACAAUAUUUUUCCGCUGCCUUUUAUAUAUAUUUUGGUUAUAAUUAUAAUUAAAAAAAUGAAGAAAUAUUAUUAUUGCUAAAAUUAUUUUUUAAUAAUAUAUUAUUUUCCGUAAUUUCUCGCUUUUUUUAUUAUAAGUAUUGAGGUGUUUUAAUUUAUAAUACCUGGAAAAAUUACAAAAUUGAAAAUCUUUCAAAACGUUUAUUUUUUUAUAUUUACAAUUUGUACACUUUAUUAAACCUUUUAUAUUUUUGUUAUUUGCUAUUAAUAGUAAAACUCUUUUAAAUAAAUUAUACGUAAAUAUAUAAAGAGUGAAAUUACAAUUUAAAAGUAAAAUAAAAUUAGUUUAAUUAUAUUUAUUAAUUAUAAUAUUAUCCGAAUUAUUAUAAGAGUUAAUUU
rnacentral:sRNA from 1 species